UUCCAGCUCUCAGUUUAGCUCCUCCACAAUGAUUCUCAUUUAUUCAGUGUUCAAAAACCUCCAGAAUAUUUGAAGAGCAGCAGACAACAAUACAAUCCUGCAAAAAUGCCCGUUUGAUUGUUUUAUCACAUUAAGUAAAUCCAGGAGGAAAGUGAAUGUGUUUUCAGGAGUCUGUUGAGUGGAGAGUGUUUUGCAUGUUUACUGCUCCACACACAAAACUCCUCUGAUGAUCAGUGUGUGUUCAGUCCUGACAGAGUCACUGACACACUGAACAAUAAUGGCUCUUUUACUGAUUCUGGCUACACUGGCUCUGCUGGCUCAAGUGUCUCAUGAAGAGGUCCAGACUCCUGAGUCUCUGUCUGUUAAAGCAGGAGAAUCUGCCACUAUUAGCUGCACUGCGUCUUCUGGAAUUGGUUAUGCCAUGAGCUGGUAUCUGCUGAAACCUGGAAAAACUCCUAAACUCCUGAUCUACGAAACGAGUAACCUUGCAUCUGGAGUUUCAAACCGGUUCAGUGGAAGUUAUUCUGGAUAUCAAUUUAUGCUGAACAUACGUGGAGUCCAGACUGAAGAUGCAGGAGAUUAUUUCUGUAUGGGGUAUUAUUCUGCUUCAGUGUUCACACAGUGAAACAGCAUCGUACAAAAACUUCCCUCAGUCAGACGGCACAAUGAAUUUACUCAAGCAGUAUGAACUAAUUUGCAAUAAAUGAGAAAUUAAUUCUUCAGUAUGAACAGAAUAUAUUCUAAUUAAAUAUGCAAAUUAGUGCAUAUUUAAUUAGAAAAUUGUGUAUAUUUAAACAGAACAUUUCAGAAAACUUGAAAUUAUUAUUAUUUGCAAUUCUCAAUGUAAUCAAUUAACUGGUGAAGUAUGGUGAAAUCUUUUAGUUACAUUUUUUCACCCUAUCAUCUGACUUGUCUUUCCUUUUUUUCUUCCAUCUUGUUCAAAUGCAUAAAUCUUGACAGUCAAUUAGCCCUAAAUUUAAUGUAAAAUAUGUAAAAUAAGUAUAAAAUCUUUUUAUUGUCACUGUAAUUUUGCAAAUUCCUUAUUUUAGAUUUUGAUAUGUAUGAAGGUUUAUAAAUUAAAAGUAGCUAAAAUAUUUUAAUUAAAAUAUAAGUAUGAUGUCAGUAUCUCUUUUACUGUAAUUGAUAUUUCCAAUAUUAAAAUAUUAUUUGAAUAUCCAUGCUGUUCAUCCCAAUAAUCACAAUGGACACACGUGAUACAAGUGAAAAAGUGAUAUUUCAUAUUUUAGGUUGUUUUUAUUUUAAAGUGUUUAAUAUUGCAGCAAGAAAGUGAACACCAUAUUUGAGUCAAAAUGCUUUUAUUUGGCAGCAAUAAAACAACAAACACA